rnacentral:tRNA from 1 species
GAGGGUAUAACUCAGUGGUAGAGUGUGUGCUUAGCAUGCACGAGGUCCUGGGUUCAAUCCCCAGAACCUCU